ACGGUAAAAUCAAAACCGUGCGACAACUCGUGCGACGUGCGACAUUUUUCAAACAGGGUACUUAUGUAGCGACUUUGUGUCAGAAGAAUGCCAAACAGCUUGGGUUUAAUGUUUGACCCCUUUUAAAAGGGCACUGAAGAAAUCAGUUUUUGAUGAGGUUCGGAAGAUUUAGUGUUUUUAUUCAUAAUAAUAUAAUAAAAUACGUACAACUUGUCAUGAAUUUGCUUAGAGAUAAAUAAAUACAUGAAUUGUCCCCACCCGCUUAUUUCGGCGGGAGAAUUCGGCCCACCAGCAGGACAAUUUCCAAUUUCCAAUCGUUGGUGCGAUCUAUACGAGAAAGUGAGAAGGUUGUUGUUUUCUCGCACUCUCUCUUUCUCUCUCCUCUCAGAAUGAGAACAAUGUUGCCAGUUUGAUGGAAGUCAGCUUUGGACAGUGCAGUUGAAUAAGUGCUGAAUCGCAUUUGUAAAUGCUGUUGGGUGGCUAAUUAGCAAUGAAAUGCUAAUCUGUUGCCGAUUUAUGACUUUUUGCUAGUGCUGGAUGGUUACUUGGGUAAUCGGCAAGCCGAACAUUAUCUUUUUUUCAGGCAACAAGCAUCUUCCAAUCUGAUCUUGCCGGAAACCAUGCGCUUGCGUGUGGCCCGCGUGGCAUCCGUAGAACCCCCAAAAGCAGUUACGGCUACGGAAACACCCGCUCCACAAACCCACGUUGUCUCAUACUCCGGUGGCCAUAAAUCCGUCGGAUAUUGAAGAUUGGCGUCGCAUCCGGUUACAAUUUUUAUCAGCCUUGUAGAGGAGAAAAAGUCCAACACGACCAAGAUGCUGCCGGGCUGCCACAGAACACCAACAUCUGUUAUGGUACGGAGUCGCGGUCUUGGCCACGACAAGGAGUUUGGGUAUGACCCACAAGAGGAGAGUUAAGUAGAGACAGCCAUCUUGCUAGAGCAGACGUUGUGAAUUAGAGCUCAAUAAAAUUGGAGUUGUUCAGCAUUGAAA